rnacentral:rRNA from 1 species
GUCUACGGCCAUACCACCCUGAACACGCCCGAUCUCGUCUGAUCUCGGAAGCUAAGCAGGGUCGGGCCUGGUUAGUACUUGGAUGGGAGAAAGCAAAUGAUGGGGAGA